rnacentral:tRNA from 1 species
GGGGUUGUGGCUCAAUGGUAGAGCAUUCACCUAGCAUGUGUGAAGCCCUGGGUUUGAUACUCAGCAUCACAU